UCCCUAUUAGCUCAGUUGGUAGAGCGUGUCACUAGUAUACUGUUUGGUUUACUACGAUGACGAGGUCAGUCGUUCAAGUCGGCUAGAGAGAA